AGCUCCAAUAGCGUAUACUAAUGUUGUUGCAGUUAAAAAGCUCGUAGUCGGAUUUCAGUAUUAGAUAUGCCAAUCCUAUGAUUGCGCUUGUCUUUACUUCUUUAACAGAAACAUUCAUCUUAUUCAUUUAGGGUGUUUUGCGACUGUUUCUUUUACUUUGAGAAAAUUUAGAGUGUUCAAAGCGGAUUUACGUCUGGAUAUUACUCUUGGAAUAAUAUUAUAGGACUUUGGUUCUUUUUUGUUGGUGACUUAGAACCGAAGUAAUGAUUGAUAGGGACAGUUGGGGUCAUUCGUACUGCAAAGCGAGAGGUGAAAUUCAUGGACCUUUGUAUGACGAACUACUGCGAAAGCAUUUGACUAGGAUGUUCCCGUUGAUC
rnacentral:rRNA from 1 species